rnacentral:misc_RNA from 1 species
GACGAACCGUCCGAACGUUAUUCGGAAUCACUGGGCUUAAAGCGCACGUAGGCGGCGACGCAAGUCGGGGGUGAAAGGCCACGGCUCAACCGUGGAAUUGCCUCCGAAACUGUGUCGCUCGAGGGAGGUAGGGGCCUGUGGAACUUCCGGUGGAGCGGUGAAAUGUGUUGAGAUCGGAAGGAACGCCCGUGGCGAAAGCGGCAGGCUGGAUCUCUUCUGACGCUGAGGUGCGAAAGCUAGGGUAGCGAACGGG